UACAGAGGUCUCAAGCGUUGUUCGGAUUCAUUGGGCGUAAAGGGUGCGUAGGCGGCGCGGUAAGUCGGGUGUGAAAUUUCGAGGCUUAACUUCGAAACUGCAUUCGAUACUGCCGUGCUUGAGGACUGGGAGAGGAGACUGGAAUUUACGGUGUAGCGGUGAAAUGCGUAGAUAUCGUAAGGAAGACCAGUGGCGAAGGCGGGUCUCUGGACAGUUCCUGACGCUGAGGCACGAAGGCCAGGGGAGCAAACGGG
rnacentral:rRNA from 1 species